rnacentral:rRNA from 1 species
UACAGAGGUCCCGAGCGUUGUUCGGAUUUACUGGGCGUAAAGAGCGCGCAGGCGGUCGAUUUAGUCGCGUGUGAAAGCCCCCGGCUCAACUGGGGAGGGUCACGCGAUACUGAUCGACUCGAAGGCAGGAGAGGGUAGUGGAAUUCCCGGUGUAGUGGUGAAAUGCGUAGAUAUCGGGAGGAACACCAGUGGCGAAGGCGACUACCUGGCCUGUUCUUGACGCUGAGGCGCGAAAGCUAGGGGAGCAAACGGG